UACGAAGGGGACUAGCGUUGUUCGGAAGUUACUGGGCGUAAAGCGCGCGUAGGGUGGCUUCGUAAGUCCGUUGUGAAAGCAAAGGCUCAACCUUUGAAAGCCGAUGGAUACUGUGGAGCUAGAGUACGGAAGAGGCGAGUGGAAUUCCUGGUGUAGCGGUGGAAUGCGCAGAUAUCAGGAGGAACACCAAUAGCGAAGGCAGCUCGCUGGGACGUUACUGACACUGAGGCGCGGAAAGCGUGGGGAGCGAACAGG
rnacentral:rRNA from 1 species